UGGUAUGAAUGUGAGCCUGGGAUAAGCUUGGGGUCAGGGUGUAGAAAACCAAGCCCAGAGUUCCCAUUGCUUUGAUUCUUCAGUUUGAUUGGAAUUUGAGAACUUGCCUUCUUAGAUCUAGUGGCUCUAGUAAAGGGCAUUUGAUGUUUUGCUUGCUAAUCCGCGCUCUCUUCCCAUUUGUGGGACAUGUGCUCCAUGAGCUUACAGAAAGUAAACACUUGGAACCUGAGCAGUUGAUCAAAAGGAAGUGAAUUGAUUUGAUAUUUCUUUCCCCACCUCACCACCCCUAAGUCAGCUCAAACAGCCUUAGUCUCCUUUCCUCUGUCUAUACCACUUUUCUCCCUCCAAAGGGUCAAAUGUGUGUUCUUUAUUUUUUUUUUCUCUCAGCAGAAGCAGCGUGCAAAUAAAAUCCUGGGUGCCAAAGUGCCAACGGCUCCAUUGAGCUCCUUGUUUGUCCUCAGAUUAACAAAAUACCCUUUUGCUUACCCACAGUGUAUAGGCUCUACCUCUCAUACCAACUGCAUUUUGUUUUUAUUGCAGCGCUGAUGUUGAAGUGGCCAGGUUUUGAACUGCCCCCCCUGACUAGAGUUAAAAUCCCUUUGCUAAUGUUCAGCUAAAGCCAACGGUGACAAAUGACAGGUCUGCCCCUCUCCUCAGCUGAUAACGGCCUUCUCCAGCUGGUCGCCAUAUACACAAUCUGUUUUGUAAUCAUUUGCUUGUUUUCCUGAGUGUCCUUUGUUUUGGGGGAGGAAGAUGGUGUUUUUCCUCCAAAUGGCUGAUCUCAGCCUUUUUCCCAAGCCCCAUCCUAGCCUUCAGCCUUACCUGGGCUGGAUCCCAGGCAUUCAGGGGAAGGAGGAGGGGAUGGUAAGAAGUUUUUCCUUUGAAUUCACCUUGUCUGAGGAAUGAGUGAACUGGGACAAGUUUUCCCCAGAGUUAAAGAAGAACCAAUGUGGUUGUGAUCUAGGUGGGCUACUGAAAUCCAGAAAAACUCUGCUUUUUUGGGAUUCUCCUCAUGGAUCACUUGGUUUAACUUGCCUCAAGAAUGGGCCAAAAUAAAUGGCUUUUCCUUGCCCCCUCCACCUCCCCAUCUUCAAUUUUAGAAGUUUCCUCAAAGCAAUCAGGGCCUUUUUUUGUGGCCUACUCUGCCUUAUUCCUCAGCAGCUCCCUGAUCUCUUCUUUGGACAAAAGUAAGAUGCCAUAUAAAUAGGGUUAGUUGAUAUUGCUAGGUGGGAGAAGGUGGAUGGUGUGUGCAGCUGUGGUUCUAGCCUCAUGUAUAUUUUAUAGAUUUGUUAGUAGCUUCAGUUGCCAAACUCCACCAAAGCUGCUUUUAAUCAUCUGCAUUGUAGCAAUAAAGGGGGUCCCUUCUGCCUUUGCUUUAUUACCUGCCUGCUAUCCUUCUAAACUUAAGGAUUAAAAAAACUCACUAUAUUUGCUCAUCAGGCAGGCAGUGAGUAGGACUCUGGUUACUCAGAGGUAAUAGGGAGAAGGCAAAACCCUAACAGCAAUCUAUCCUGGGCUUAGGAGGAAGGUGAUAGAGGCUGGGCUGGGGCUGGUUCCUUGCUUGAAAAAUGAGGUGAUGAUUCCAGCUUCUCUCUCCGGGCCUCUGGAACUUUACGCUAUCCCAUGUCGCCCUUAGCUCUAGAAAGGGAUUAGUUAGCCUGGCAGGCCCCUCACCCUUAAACUACCUGUCAGCUGGCUAUCAUCCUUGACUGAGUUUGGCCACUGAUUUCUUUAAUAUUAUUUGGGCUUAGCUGUUACAAUGCAUUCUCGUGGUCUGUUACAGUUUUGAUUUCAGUAUGAGGGGAGAGUUUUGAGCCACCUCAAAAAGCUGGAGUCUCCUCUCUAUAUCCCCCCCAUCCCCCAAUGUAAAGGAACAAUUCUAUAAUCUUUUUACUCCCCUCUCAUCUUUCUCUCUUCUUUACUUCCUCAGCAGUACAAGGCCCCAGCAAGAGUGAGCUGGAAACAGAGAAGCAGAAUUUGGAGGGAGGAAUAAUUAUUUGAAGGAGGGAAGGUUUAAGGCCAGUGGCCUGGGGUAUGUCCGCUCUUGCAGGACUCUGGCAGUUCAGAGCUGAGCAUUUUAUGCAUCCACAUGUGGGUGCCAGACUCACCUUCAUCUGCAGGAAACCAAUACCCACUUUCCUCCAAUCCUUAAGCUGCUGGCCCAGGGGAAAACCCUUGGGUACCAGGAAAGUUAAUAUGGGAGCUAUAGUGUUUACUAUAGCUGUUAUGGGAUCUGUGCCUGAAAAGCUUCUUGUUUGGAAAAAUUUAUAAUUUAUAAGCAAUUAAAAAAGCUAAGCAAU